ACAAUCCGUCGACUUUAUAAGUCGUGAGGGUUCAAGUCCCUCUAUCCCCA
rnacentral:tRNA from 1 species